ensembl:lncRNA
GACGAGAAGGUGCCGCAGUGAUGAGAAGCCCCCGCUUACCCAGACUGGAGAGAGCCCACACAGAGCAACAAAGACCCAGUGCGACCAAAAAAGCCAGAGUUAACCCAGGCUCUCUUCCCCAGAAGCAAGCUUGAUCAUCCUUUAAGUCCUGAGAAUCUACAAGCAAAUUCCUGCAACUCCCGGACCUGCCCUGUUUUGAGCACUGUCCUAAAGUUGAGGACAUCUGGACGGUGCUCGUGUCAACAACCGCGGGGCACCCUCCCGUCCCCAGGCGGUUCUGCCCCAGUGUCUUCAACAAGCUGAUGUAGGAUAAUGU